rnacentral:rRNA from 1 species
UACGAAGGGUGCAAACGUUGCUCGGAAUUAUUGGGCGUAAAGCGCGCGUAGGCGGCUUUGCAAGUCGGAUGUGAAAGCCCUCGGCUCAACCGAGGAAGUGCAUCCGAAACUGCCGAGCUUGAGUACUUAAGAGGAUCGCGGAAUUCCCGGUGUAGAGGUGAAAUUCGUAGAUAUCGGGAGGAACACCAGUGGCGAAGGCGGCGAUCUGGGAAGAUACUGACGCUGAGGUGCGAAAGCGUGGGGAGCAAACAGG